GAAAUGCGAUAAGUAAUGUGAAUUGCAGAAUUCAGUGAAUCAUCGAAUCUUUGAACGCACCUUGCGCUCCUUGGUAUUCCUUGGAGCAUGCCUGUUUGAGUAUCAUGAAAUCUUCAAAGUAAAUCUUUUGUUAACUCAAUUGGUUUCUACUUUGGUAUUGGAGGUCUUUGCAGCUUCACACCUGCUCCUCUUUGUUCAUUAGCUGGAUCUCAGUGUUAUGCUUGGUUCCACUCGGCGUGAUAAGUUAUCUAUCGCUGAGGACACUGUAAAAGGUGGCCAAGGUAAAUGCAGAUGAACCGCUUCUACUAGUCCCUUGACUUGGACAAUACUUUUAUGAUCUGAUCUCAAAUCAGGUAGGACUACCCGCUGAACUUAAGC
rnacentral:misc_RNA from 1 species